rnacentral:rRNA from 1 species
GACGAACGCUGGCGGCGUGCUUAACACAUGCAAGUCGAACGGAAAGGCCCUGCUUUUGUGGGGUGCUCGAGUGGCGAACGGGUGAGUAACACGUGAGUAACCUGCACUUGACUUAGGGGUAACUUCAGGAAACUGGAGCUAAUACAGGAUAGGAGCUCCUGCUGCAUGGUGGGGGUUGGAAAGUUUCGGCGGUUGGGGAUGGACUCGCGGCGUAUCAGCUUGUUUGUGGGGUAGUGGCUGACCCAGGCUUUGCCGGGUAGCCGGCCUGAGAGGGUCAGCGGACACACUGGGACUGGGAUGCGGCCCAGACUCCAACGGGAGGCAGCGGUGGGGUAGAGUGCAUUAUGGGAGGAAGCCUGAUGCAGCAACGCCGCGUGCGGUGAGUCGGCCUGCGUGUUGGAAUCCACAGUCGUCUGUGACGAGGCGUGAGUGACGGUAACGGGUAAAGAAGCACCGGCUAACUACGUG